rnacentral:rRNA from 1 species
GAGUAGAUUGCAGCUGAAACCGCUGGGAGCCGCAAGGCAGGCGUCUAGGCUGUGGUUUAUGACUGGGGUGAAGUCGUAACAAGGUAGGUGUACCGGAAGGUGCGCCUGGAUCACCUCCUUUCUAU